AAAGCCAACUGCUGACUGAUUUUCUGGGCUUCUUGGCUGAUGGUGGUGACUCUGAAGAAAGAAGCUGGGUUUAUCUCUGGGUCUUGGGAUAAUCAAGUUGGAAGUGGCCUGGCUGAUUUGAAGACAGGAAACUGCCUUAUACUUCUCUUAUGUCCACCAAAUCACCUAACCCUGUGCUGGAUAUGUGCAUAAAGCCUUUCAGCUUCCCCUCCCCCUUUACCUCCAACCUUCUUCUAAAUCACUCAGGGUGGACUAUGAUGCUUUAGAGAAAAUACUCUUUUCUCUUCUUCAACUCAAGUAUGGGUUCAUUGGGGAAUACAGGACAAGGAUGGAGGAUAAGUGAUGAGUUGACCUUGGACAGCCACUUUGCCUUUUGCAUUUUAUUGUCUGCUCUACAAAAUAAGGAGAAUUCUACCCAUACCAUAUAACUGUUGUGAGAAUAAAAUGAGAUAUAGCCUGGGUAACCUGUUUGACUUGGUGUGUUUCCUAUUCCAUAUAUUAACAUUUAGUAGACUAGAAUUUUUUACAGGGAGCUGAACUUGAUCUUUUGUCCCCUGAGAUCUACCUUGAACCU